AAUAUGGCGGCCAUUAGUAUUGGAAGCUGAAUAGCUGAUGACGACCGAGUGGCCGGAAACCAGAAAUCUAAGGAAACGUUUAAGAAUGGCAAAUAAUGUGUUGCAAAUUUCAAUAAGGCAACAUCAAAGACAUCUGGGCUGUGAACAGAAAAGAACUCAUGGUGGAAGAAUGUGAUUUGGUUGAGUGGGCUCUAGUCCAACAGUCUAGUCGUUUAUAUGGUUUUCAUGUUAUGCAUCUUUCUCGACUUCAGAGCACACCAGAGACUUGGGUAUCAGCAGUUUGUCAAAGUUCCCAAAUUGUGAGUUGCAAGAAGUCUGUAACUACCCAACACGCGGUCGCUGGGCACUCGCUAUUAAGAGGAACUACGCAACCUUCCCCGUCAGUUGCAGACCACCAAGAUCUUCCGGCCGUUCCUUGAAUCUCACGAUGAAUAGCAAGUCCCGGAUUAUUAUCAGAUCUUAAAGAAACCCAUGGACUUUGGUGGAGACCAGACUGCAGAGAGACAUCAUCGAUGGCUUUUAUUUUAGAGUUUAUUACCGACAUUAUCGAAUCUGACUUUAUUAGCACUUGAUACAAUCUUCUGGUUUGGGAAAAUAAAGGUAGCAAGCAGCUCCUUGGACAUAAUGCAUGUUGAUACAAGACUGUUGAGACCAAUUUUAGAAAUGAAAAUACAAACACAAAAAGAUA